GGGGAAUUUUCCGCAAUGGGCGCAAGCCUGACGGAGCAAGACCGCGUGAGGGAGGAAGGCUCUUGGGUUGUAAACCUCUUUUCUCAGGGAAGAACACAAUGACGGUACCUGAGGAAUAAGCCUCGGCUAACUCCGUGCCAGCAGCCGCGGUAAUACGGAGGAGGCAAGCGUUAUCCGGAAUUAUUGGGCGUAAAGCGUCCGUAGGUGGUUAUGUAAGUCUGCUGUCAAAGCACAGGGCUUAACCCUGUAAAGGCAGUGGAAACUACAAGACUGGAGUGCGGUAGGGGCAGAGGGAAUUCCCAGUGUAGCGGUGAAAUGCGUAGAGAUUGGGAAGAACACCUGUGGCGAAAGCGCUCUGCUGGACCGCAACUGACACUCAGGGACGAAAGCUAGGGGAGCGAAUGGGAUUAGAUACCCCAG
rnacentral:rRNA from 1 species